rnacentral:rRNA from 1 species
GACGAACGCUGGCGGCGUGCCUAAUACAUGCAAGUGGGACGCAAGGAAACACACUGUGCUUGCACACCGUGUUUUCUUGAGUCGCGAACGGGUGAGUAACGCGUAGGUAACCUGCCUAUUAGCGGGGGAUAACUAUUGGAAACGAUAGCUAAUACCGCAUAAUAUUAAUUAUUGCAUGAUAAUUGAUUGAAAGAUGCAAGCGCAUCACUAGUAGAUGGACCUGCGUUGUAUUAGCUAGUUGGUAAGGUAAGAGCUUACCAAGGCGACGAUACAUAGCCGACCUGAGAGGGUGAUCGGCCACACUGGGACUGAGACACGGCCCAGACUCCUACGGGAGGCAGCAGUAGGGAAUCUUCGGCAAUGGACGAAAGUCUGACCGAGCAACGCCGCGCGAGUGAAGAAGGUUUUCGGAUCGUAAAGCUCUGUUGUAAGUCAAGAACGUGUGUGAGAGUGGAAAGUUCACACAGUGACGGUAGCUUACCAGAAAGGGACGGCUAACUACGUG